rnacentral:rRNA from 1 species
UACGUAGGGGGCAAGCGUUGUCCGGAUUUAUUGGGCGUAAAGAGCUCGUAGGCGGCUUGUCGCGUCGACUGUGAAAACCCGCGGCUCAACCGCGUGCCUGCAGCCGAUACGGGCAGGCUAGAGUUCGGUAGGGGAGACUGGAAUUCCUGGUGUAGCGGUGAAAUGCGCAGAUAUCAGGAGGAACACCGAUGGCGAAGGCAGGUCUCUGGGCCGAUACUGACGCUGAGGAGCGAAAGCGUGGGGAGCGAACAGG